AAAAUUUCAAGUGCGUUUUUUAUUUUUAUAAUAAUUUAUACUUGACACUGGCAGAAUGUCGCUAAUGGCGAUCGUAUGCCAAAAAUAAAAGAAGAAGAAGAAGAAGAAGCACAUUAAGC